rnacentral:rRNA from 1 species
UACGGGGGGAGCAAGCGUUGUUCGGAUUUACUGGGCGUAAAGGGCGCGUAGGCGGUCAGCACAAGUCAGUUGUGAAAUCUCCGGGCUUAACUCGGAAAGGUCAACUGAUACUGUGCGACUAGAGUGCAGAAAGGGCAAUCGGAAUUCUUGGUGUAGCGGUGAAAUGCGUAGAUAUCAAGAGGAACACCUGAGGCGAAGGCGGGUUGCUAGGCUGACACUGACGCUGACAGCGCGAAAGCCAGGGGAGCAAACGGG